UUUCGCAAUGCCCGAAAGGGUGACGAAGCGACGCCGCGUGGGUGAGGAAGGCCUUCGGGUUGUAAAGCCCUGUCAGGAGUUAAGAAAUGUAGGUGCGAUAAUACCGUACCUAUUUGACGAAGGCUCCAAAGGAAGUCACGGCUAACUCUGUGCCAGCAGCCGCGGUAAUACAGAGGUGGCAAGCGUUGUUCGGAAUUAUUGGGCGUAAAGAGCACGUAGGUGGGUUUGUAAGUCAGAUGUGAAAGCCUCCUGUUCAACGGGAGAAUUGCAUCUGAAACUGCUGAUCUUGAGUGUAGGAGGGGAGAAUGGAACUUCUGGUGGAGCGGUGAAAUGCGUAGAUAUCAGAAGGAACGCCGGCGGCGAAAGCGACUCUCUGGCCUAUUACUGACACUGAGUGUGCGAAAGUUAGGGGAGCAAACGGGAUUAGAUACCCCGGUAGUCCUAACCGUAAACGAUGGGCACUAAGUAGAGGGGUUUUA
rnacentral:rRNA from 1 species